rnacentral:rRNA from 1 species
GAUGAACGCUAGCUACAGGCUUAACACAUGCAAGUCGAGGGGAAACGGCAUUGAGUGCUUGCACUCUUUGGACGUCGACCGGCGCACGGGUGAGUAACGCGUAUCCAACCUUCCCAUUACUGUGGAAUAACCUGCCGAAAGGCAGACUAAUACCGCAUGGUCUUCGUUGACGGCAUCAGAUAUGAAGUAAAGAUUUAUCGGUAAUGGAUGGGGAUGCGUCUGAUUAGCUUGUUGGCGGGGUAACGGCCCACCAAGGCGACGAUCAGUAGGGGUUCUGAGAGGAAGGUCCCCCACAUCGGAACUGAGACACGGUCCAAACUCCUACGGGAGGCAGCAGUGAGGAAUAUUGGUCAAUGGACGUAAGUCUGAACCAGCCAAGUAGCGUGCAGGAUGACGGCCCUAUGGGUUGUAAACUGCUUUUGUAUGGGGAUAAAGUCAAUCACGUGUGAUUGUUUGCAGGUACCAUACGAAUAAGGA